rnacentral:SRP_RNA from 1 species
GGAGGAGGAAGAAAUGGUCUAGUAAACGACAGUAAUGACUUCCUUGAAAGAUACACCCAUAUAGGGGCAA